AGCGUUUGCGGACGCUGCCAUUUUUAGGGGAUCGGAUUAGAAAGAAAAGGGCCAGAAGCGGCCCCAGCCCCGCUUCUUUUCGACCGGGUGAUGGGAAAGAGCCCAGUUCAAGCAGAUCCAACUUUUUUUGUGGGUGUGAGCGGGAUUAUUGGCCGGGAUGUUACCACUGAAGACUCACCUCGCCACCAACAACGAUCUACAUUAUGACACAGGCGGAUAUUCCUACCGCCCCACCAAGGAAUAUUUCUCAGGAGUCCAUGCCGUCAGGAUCUCAAAGAGCCUGGAAGCCUCAGAGAAAUAAAGGAUUAGUUUGCGGAAGGAAGUCCGGUGCAGGUGACCCAUGGGUAA